GACGUAGGACGCGAGCGUUGUCCGGAUUUAUUGGGCGUAAAGAGCUCGUAGGCGGCUUGUCGCGUCGUCCGUGAAAACCUGCGGCUCAACUGCAGGCUGGCGGUCGAUACGGGCAGGCUGGAGUUCGGUAGGGGAGACUGGAAUUCCUGGUGUAGCGGCGAAAUGCGCAGAUAUCAGGAGGAACACCGGUGGCGAAGGCGGGUCUCUGGGCCGAUACUGACGCUGAGGAGCGAAAGCGUGGGGAGCGAACAGG
rnacentral:rRNA from 1 species